rnacentral:hammerhead_ribozyme from 1 species
CUGACGAGUCCCAAAUAGGACGAAACACGUGUC